rnacentral:rRNA from 1 species
CCUACGGGUGGCAGCAGUGAGGAAUAUUGGUCAAUGGACGAGAGUCUGAACCAGCCAAGUAGCGUGAAGGAUGACUGCCCUAUGGGUUGUAAACUUCUUUUAUAUGGGAAUAAAACGUUCCACGUGUGGGAUUUUGUAUGUACCAUAUGAAUAAGGAUCGGCUAACUCCGUGCCAGCAGCCGCGGUAAUAAGUAGGAUCCGAGCGUUAUCCGGAUUUAUUGGGUUUAAAGGGAGCGUAGGUGGAUUGUUAAGUCAGUUGUGAAAGUUUGCGGCUCAACCGUAAAAUUGCAGUUGAAACUGGCAGUCUUGAGUACAGGAGAGGUGGGCGGAAUUCGUGGUGUAGCGGUGAAAUGCUUAGAUAUCACGAAGAACUCCGAUUGCGAAGGCAGUUCACUGGACUGCAACUGACACUGAGGCUCGAAAGUGUGGGUAUCAAACAGGAUUAGAUACCCGGGUAGUC